UGCCAUACCAUGCUGAAUAUACCGGUUCUCGUUAGAUCACCGAAGUCAAGCAUCAUUGGGCGCGGUCAGUACUUGGGUGGGUGACCACCUGGGAACACCGCGUGCCGUU